rnacentral:misc_RNA from 1 species
GGGAACUAUCAUGGCAUUGUUGGUUACGCAACAGCCAAAGGACCGGCAGUCCCAAUUGCUUUACAAAAGGCAUAUGAGAAAUGUUUCCAAAACCUUCAUUAUGUGGAACGCCAUGAGGAGCACACAAUUGCACAUGCAGUGCAGACGGCAUACAAGAAAACAAAGGUAUAUCUUUGGCCAGCACCAACUACCACAGGCAUGAAAGCAGGGAAAACUGUUCAAACUGUUUUGAAUCUGGCUGGUUUCAAAAAUGUCAAAUCUAAGGUUGUUGGCUCAAGAAACCCCCUCAACACUCUGAGGGCCCUCUUCCAAGCUCUGAAUGCAAU